GGCCUGGUCGCCAAGUGGUAAGGCAAAGAUCUGCAAAAUCUUUAUACGGCGGUUCGAUUCCGCCUCAGGCCUCCA
rnacentral:tRNA from 1 species